AAUAUUGGGACAUAUAAAAAAAAAGACAACUCUGUUCCACAGAGUAGCUGUUGACAUUAUAGUUGUGCAGGCACUUUGUUGACUCUAGAGAAGCUUGGGCCAAUCGCACAUCCCCGUGACGGCGACUUUGCUUUCGGAUAUCAUCCAUAUCAACUUUCGAUGCCUGUUUCUGCGCCUACCAUGGUGACCACGGAUAACGGGUAAUCAGGGUUCCAUUCUGUACAGGGACCCUGAGAAACAGCUAUCACAUGCAAGGAAGGCAGCAGGCGCGCAAAUGACACACUCCCGACGCGGGAAGGUAGUGA